AUUGAACGCUGGCGGCAGGCUUAACACAUGCAAGUCGAGCGGGGGAAGGUAGCUUGCUACUGUACCUAGCGGCGGACGGGUGAGUAAUGCUUAGGAAUCUGCCUAGUAGUGGGGGACAACAUCUCGAAAGGGAUGCUAAUACCGCAUACGUCAUACGGGAGAAAGCAGGGGAUCUUCGGACCUUGCGCUAAUAGAUGAGCAUAAGUCGGAUUAGCUAGUUGGUGGGGUAAAGGCCUACCAAGGCGACGAUCUGUAGCGGGUCUGAGAGGAUGAUCCGCCACACUGGGACUGAGACACGGCCCAGACUCCUACGGGAGGCAGCAGUGGGGAAUGUUGGACAAUGGGGGGAACCCUGAUCCAGCCAUGCCGCGUGUGUGAAGAAGGCCUUAUGGUUGUAAAGCACUUUAAGCGAGGAGGAGGCUACUUUAGUUAAUACCUAGAGAUAGUGGACGUUACUCGCAGAAUAAGCACCGGCUAACUCUGUGCCAGCCGCCGCAGUAA
rnacentral:rRNA from 1 species